rnacentral:rRNA from 1 species
GAUGAACGCUGGCGGCGUGCCUAAUACAUGCAAGUCGAGCGAACAGACGAGGAGCUUGCUCCUCUAACGUUAGCGGCGGACGGGUGAGUAACACGUGGAUAACCUACCUAUAAGACUGGGAUAACUUCGGGAAACCGGAGCUAAUACCGGAUAAUAUAUUGAACCGCAUGGUUCAAUAGUGAAAGACGGUUUUGCUGUCACUUAUAGAUGGAUCCGCGCCGCAUUAGCUAGUUGGUAAGGUAACGGCUUACCAAGGCGACGAUGCGUAGCCGACCUGAGAGGGUGAUCGGCCACACUGGAACUGAGACACGGUCCAGACUCCUACGGGAGGCAGCAGUAGGGAAUCUUCCGCAAAGGGCGAAAGCCUGACGGAGCAACGCCGCGUGAGUGAUGAAGGUCUUCGGAUCGUAAAACUCUGUUAUUAGGGAAGAACAAAUGUGUAAGUAACUAUGCACGUCUUGACGGUACCUAAUCAGAAAGCCACGGCUAACUACGUG